rnacentral:lncRNA from 1 species
AUUGUAGUUGAAUGACGAUUUUUACCCACUUCUUUUUUUAAGUUUGGGCAAAAUCAUAGGAUAUAGAGAGCUUAAGCAGGGAAAAAAUCAUCAAUAUAACAAGAUCGAUAAUAUUAAGAGAUUUAAAAAAUAACCUUUUUUAAAACUUGGAAAAUUAUCGUCCUACUUUUAACAACGAUUUAUCCUGAUAUUGUAAAAUUGAUGUAAACGGGAUAACUCUUGUUCAAAAAUAUCUUAGAUUAUUUAUUGUUUAAAUGUAUGAAUUUUGUGGAUAUUCGAAUAUCUUUUUUUGAAUUCUUCUACAAAAAACUAAACGUUACAUGAUACGCAAACUCCUAGAACAUGAUAUUCAGCAAGACUACAAAUUUCAAGUACUCGCAAUACGGUUUGUAUUUGUACUGGCCGACUUAUCAGUCUACAAUGUGGUAGAUGUCAUGCAGCAUAGCCAGAACUAGCAGAGGAAGGCGCGACUCGGCAAUAUCCUUUACACAGACAUGUACAGAUCUUCAAUGCAGUAAAACAAAAAUCGAAGCGAGACCUAUAAACUAUUGAACCUUCAACUUAUUGAAACAGAUGCCACAGCAAAAAUCAACAAUACUAUAUAUAAUUUAUUUGCAAAAACAAAUAAUCCGUAAAGAUGAAGGGUAAGUUAAUAAUGUAUGCUGAUUAUAAACAAAUUACGUCUUUUUUAAAUCAUAUUAAUUGAGUAAAAAGUACUAUAAAUAGUAACUGUACCUAUAAAACGUAUUAAUCAUGACAGCGUGUAGCUUAAUUCUUGGUUUAUAUUAAAAUAAAAUUGAGCUGUUUUACAAUAUAAAACUAAGUUCAUUUAUUGAAUGAUAUCACUUCUAAAGGUAACCGUUAGGAGAGUAGUUCAUUAGUUCUUAAACAUGUAACAAAUGGGGCAGAUGAUGAUUAUCCUUUUUGAGUAUCUGAGCCUAUACCUGGAUGUUGGUAAGGUUUUGUUACUUAAUGUUUGGUUACCGUGCAUUUUUUGUUUUGCUGAACGUUUUUGUUUUCUUUUUCUCGAUUUUUAUUUGUUUAUCUUCUUAUCUUAUAUUGAAGACUGCCCAGAAACACAAAAUAAAUUAUAUAUAAAUAUACUAAAUAAAUAAAUGAUUUGGAAAAUACAUUGAAGGUAUAAAAAGUCAUGAGAAUUCCGAAUGUUCCCGUUGAACAUAACAGAAAAUAACCGCAAGUCUCCGAAUAAAAAGGUAAAGUAGGUCAAAGACGCUAAAAUUAUUUUAUAACAUUAAACAUUUUAGCAUCGACGGUAAAGGAAGCUAUAAGGUAUUUAUCUUCUCAUUUUAAUUAUU